AAAAUUUUUUAACUAAUGAAAAAAUGGUAAGUAUAUCCGUAGGUUCGUUUUUUAUUAUAGAAAUGGCUAAAAUUUCGUAGAUGAAUUGAUAAUUAGAGUGACACAUAUUUAAUUGGAAAACAGUUAUUUCAUUAUCAGCAAUAUUAGUGUAUUUUUUAAUACAUGUAGCAGAAGUUUCUUCAAAAGAGCUUUGCGGCAUAUGUUUUAAUACUUUUGAUGUUGAGAAACUGACGAGUUUUCAAUGUAUAAAAUGUUACGUGUGCUCAAAUUGUAUCUCUCCUGAAGUAACAAAGCAUCAUUUCGAGAAGUGUGUUGAAUGCAGUAAUAAUAAAAUUUGUUAUAGAUGCCAAAAAAUUCCUAAUCAUAAAGUAAUGUAUAUAUCAAAAUGUUGUAAAAGAAGAUUAUGUCUCCCAUGUUAUAAUUAUCUUAAAGAUUGCAAUUUAUCAUGUUUACAUUGUAAAUGUUCAAAAGAACGCAAAAAAACAGGUUCCAAAGAAAAAUGUUUUAUAGAAUAUUGUCAUGUAUGUAAUCGCCAAACAACUCAUUGAAAAUACAGCAAUUUUCCUACUUUUAUACAAAUGUUUCACAAGGCUUGCUUAUUCAACAUAAUUUUUUUUUUCAUAAAAAUAAUUAGGGAAUUUAUUUAUCACGUAUUUAUUUAUCAUGCGUGAAAAUAGUCUUUGCUUUAUUCUAAAUGAUAAAAUAUUAACAUAAAAUAACACGAAAAUAAUUUUUUUUUAUUCUAAUAUUUUACUAAAUUUUCAUAUUCUAUGUUAUGCAGUAAUAUGUUAAAUCAUCUAUACAAUUAUAAAAUAUAUAAAAUACUUUUUAAUACGAAAUAAUAAUUAUGUUUAAUUUUCAAAUUUAUAAGUACGCCUAUUAUUAAAA